rnacentral:rRNA from 1 species
AAACUAGGAUUAGAUACCCUAUUAUAAGUAAAAUAGAUUAGCUGUGUGGAGUAGAGUUUACUAGUCUUGAAAAACUAAAUUGCUUGGCGGCUUGUUAACUGAAUAGAGAAGUAUGUUUCUUGAUCGAUAAUGCACUAACAUCUUACCUUAUAUUGCAAAAACCAUUCGGUACACCGCCGUCGGAAGAGUAAUUUUGCCAAGUUGCUCUUAAGUCUUUAAUAAGAAAUAAGUCAGGCCAAGGCACUGACUAUUAUAAGGUUGAAAUGUACUUCAUUACUAUUAUUAUGUCUAGAGAUUUCAUUUAUGAAGUUUGAAAAUCUAAUGUCAAAGUAAAAGAAUCUAUAAGUAAUUUUUGUUCAUAAAACUCUAUUGAAUAAUGCUCUGAUUAGCGUACACAUCGCCCGUCGCUC